CCUACGGGGGGCUGCAGUAGGGAAUCUUCCACAAUGGGCGAAAGCCUGAUGGAGCAACGCCGCGUGGGUGAAGAAGGUCUUCGGAUCGUAAAACCCUGUUGUUAGAGAAGAAAGUGCGUGAGAGUAACUGUUCACGUUUCGACGGUAUCUAACCAGAAAGCCACGGCUAACUACGUGCCAGCAGCCGCGGUAAUACGUAGGUGGCAAGCGUUAUCCGGAUUUAUUGGGCGUAAAGGGAACGCAGGCGGUCUUUUAAGUCUGAUGUGAAAGCCUUCGGCUUAACCGGAGUAGUGCAUUGGAAACUGGGGGACGUGAGGGCAGAAGAGGAGAGUGGAAGUCCAUGUGUAGCGGUGAAAUGCGUAGAUAGAUGGAAGAACACCAGUGGCGAAGGCGGCUCUCUGGUCUGUAACUGACGCUGAGGUUCGAAAGCGUGGGUAGCAAACAGGAUUAGAUACCCGUGUAGUC
rnacentral:rRNA from 1 species